GGUCCGAUGGUGUAGUUGGUUAUCACAUCUGCUUCACACGUGAUAUGUGUCGCAGGCGGUCCUCGGUUCGAUCCCGGGUCGGAUCA